AGUGACGUACGGGUGCGUAACACGUAUGCAACCUACCCAAAACUGGAGGAUAGCUCGGGGAAACUCGAAUUAACCCUCCAUAAGAUCAUAGAGUAGCAUUACUUAGUGAUUAAAACUCCGGUGGUUUUGGAUGGGCAUGCGUCUGAUUAGUUAGUUGGCGGGGUAACGGCCCACCAAGACGAUGAUCAGUAGGGGAACUGAGAGGUUGAUCCCCCACACUGGCACUGAGAUACGGGCCAGACUCCUACGGGAGGCAGCAGUAGGGAAUAUUGGUCAAUGGAUGCAAGUCUGAACCAGCCAUGCCGCGUGCAGGAAGAAGGCGUUAUGCGUUGUAAACUGCUUUUGCCAGGGGAUAAAAAUUCCAUGCGUGGAAGAUUGAAGGUACCUGGUGAAUAAGCCACGGCUAACUACGUGCCAGCAGCCGCGGUAAUACGUAGGUGGCAAGCGUUGUCCGGAUUUAUUGGGUUUAAAGGGUGCGUAGGCGGCCCUGUAAGUCAGUGGUGAAAUACUCCAGCUUAACUGGAGGGGUGCCAUUGAUACUGCAGGGCUUGAGUGGAGUCGAAGUAGGCGGAAUUGACGGUGUAGCGGUGAAAUGCUUAGAUAUCGUCAAG
rnacentral:rRNA from 1 species